AUCGCGGAUUCUUCGCCAAAGUACGAUUUAGGUAUCUUUGGGCCGAAAUUAUGUCCGUCAAUGAUCUUCACGAUUCAACUCUAUCUCAUCUAAGGAUAUUUGAUAUUUUAUAACAAAAUACUUCGAUCAAUUUAAUUUCAUUACAAAGCAAAUUUAGAUAUAUCUUCUGUGAGCAUAUACAUAUAUUUAUUUCUUGUUUACUUUGUACUUUGUACAAUGCAUUCAUGACAGAAAUGUGUUUGUUUAACUUUUGACCUUCCAACAGCAUAGAUAGGGAAUACUGAUAGAAAUAAAUUGGCAUGCAGCAGAACUCUCAGCAUACCGAACAUGACUUGUUUAUAAAAAGGAGCAACAGAAAUGCCUCGCAGUCUAUUUAAAUCAUGUAAAUCUCCGCAAGCUCACAACGGAAAAUUCCCUGAGAAGAAUUACGGUCGUGGUGGAAAGUAAAAAUACAUUGAAGAUGGUAGACGUGAAGAAUUCCAAAGAGUACCCACAGUUAGUGAAAUAUAACAAAAGUAUGCGAGGCUAUCGUUUGAACGACCCCCACAUUCUUAAUUUCUUCUAUGAAUAUUCUUGACUUUAUAAAUAUAAUUUUAGCAAGUGUUGAUCCACCUUUGACGAUUGAAUUUCAUGAGAUAUAAUGGACAAUCACCAUAUUGUUGUGAUAAAUUCUGAAUAAAACUAUAAAUAACGAAAAAA